GCGGGUGUGACAGGUCGGCAGGGGAUGCUCACUGAUCCCACGUCUGAUGUUUUGGAGAUUACAUGUAUGCUGGAUUAUUUGAUCGAUUUUGGAAACAAUUAAACCUUUUAAGAAGACUACAUUCUUGUAUUCAGAGCAUUUUCAAGAUCUAGUAAACAACAUCAAAUUCGGUUGCUACUCGUAUACAAUAUUUUUUUGCCUAUAAUGGAUUGUGUUUAUAUACCGUUA